CGACCGGCGCACGGGUGCGUAACGCGUAUGCAACCUACCUUUAACAGGGGGAGUAACACUGAGAAAUUGGUACUAAUACCCCAUAAUAUCAUAGAAGGCAUCUUUUAUGGUUGAAAAUUCCGAUGGUUAGAGAUGGGCAUGCGUUGUAUUAGCUAAUUGGUGGGGUAACGGCUCACCAAGGCGACGAUACAUAGGGGGACUGAGAGGUUAACCCCCCACACUGGUACUGAGACACGGACCAG
rnacentral:rRNA from 1 species